GAUCAGUGGAACGUAGAAAAACAAGUAGUAGCGCGCUCAAUUUAUCCUAAAUCAGUGAAUGUAAGACAUUGCUCAUUUUCACCUAAAUAAGCAAAAUUGUUGCUACUGGGCACAAUAUAAUCCUUCUGUUCUUCAUCAACGUCCACUACACAGUCAAAGGUCACUACAGUGUAACUUUGUUAUUGCGGCCUCGGCCAUAGCAUCAACUUGGAUGAAAUGGCAUUUAUUUAUAGGUCGCGCCAAACUUCAAGUAACUUACAUUGUGAAAACCUGGGAUUUAUCGUCAGUUAAUUAUUAAAUAAUAAAUUCAUUUAUUCUUCCAAUUUAUACAUUACACAUAAUCAGAAAUUAUGAAUAGUAGAGUAGAUAUAUCACAACAACAAUAUUGCAAAUUAUAAAAAUAAAGAUAAUAAAAUAAUACAAUUACACGUUGUACAAAGAAAUAAAAAUAACUCAUUCACAUCAAUAGAACAAUAAAUAAUAAUUUCAAGUACCCCGAGGACUGAAAGUCCUGUUUGGGGCACCAUCAUAUUUUUAAUUAAGAAAAAAAUAAGCAAUGAAUUAUUUUGCCGAGUCGGAACUUGUAUAAUAUGACAAGAUUCUGCAGUUGCAGACAACAUGCCUCGACGCUACAAAAGAUCUUUGGGCAGCAGAAACUUAAAUACUUUUCCAUAAAUACUGUAGUUUGUGAUUUUUCAAAGUGAAUUUCAUUUGUUUUUAUAGUUAUUAUUCAUUUUGUUGGUUAUUAUUCAUUAGGUUAACAGUUGGUUUCAUUUUGUCUUAGUCUUGAGAAUGAACUUGUACCCAUAUAUUUUUCAAAGUAACACAAAGUCACCUCAACCCGUGGUUGACAUUGUCUCUUAUUUUCAAUAAAAAUAUAUCUUUAUUUCAUUA